CGGGAAACCAUGCUUUCUUUGAGCCCAUGAUCAUGCAGUAGGCUAUUAGCUUAUCUAUCAUGAUAUCGGAUGGAUUGAGAUUAGUGAUCAAAUGUUAAAUAUUUGUUUUUAGAUUUCCCUCCAGGCAGUGGCCCUUUCUUCAUUAGGUUCACGCAUCUAUCAUCCGACGCAGUUCGUGCUCGUUGUACUGGGCGUAUAUGUUGCUAAUGUCAUCGGGAUGAGUGGCGUAAACCGGAAGAAAGUGUCUCCUCAUUCCCCUGACGAGCCUCAACACGAAAUGGAACAAACGGUAAUUGGGUAUUGCUACUUCAUUACUGCUAUCGCCAUGUUUUUGGUGCUGUCUGCCCUCUAUGUCAUUAUUAUAGCCGUAAUCCGUCAGUCUUUUGAAUUCACCAGCACUACUUUCCAAGAGAUGGCGAGGAACAACGUCGGGGUAGUAAUCUCUCGAGUCAACAUUGUCUGUAGCUCCAAGGUAAUGCUGGAAGGGACACUGGUGAUGGUAAUAAUCAUCGUACUGGCUGUUGUGUAAAUAAAACCUGUACAAAUAACAAAACAAGACAUUUAGUGACUUGUAAAUGUUUGUACAGGCCAUCACUAAAGUAGAUUUACUCGGUAGGGAUUCGAUGGUGGAAAAUGACGGCCGAAUCCGCAACUAGGACCAACAAGAAACCCGUUGCUAUAAUAAUCAGACCCUGUUUUAAUCCAAUGGUACACUACCUUCAUCAUUGGUGAGUCAAUGAUGAGACCAGGAAAGGAGGAAGAAGAAAGCACAGCCACUCGACCCAAAAGAACCAACGUUUCUAAAAACCUUCCAGCUGUGUGGCACGUAGACAACGUCAGCAUCGAGC
rnacentral:lncRNA from 1 species